UGGGGAAUCUUGCACAAUGGGGGAAACCCUGAUGCAGCGACGCCGCGUGAGCGAUGAAGCCCUUCGGGGUGUAAAGCUCUUUCGGCAGGAACGAUUAUGACGGUACCUGCAGAAGAAGCUGCGGCUAACUACGUGCCAGCAGCCGCGGUAAUACGUAGGCAGCGAGCGUUGUUCGGAGUUACUGGGCGUAAAGAGUAUGUAGGCGGUUGCGUAAGUUCGGUGUGAAAUCUCCCGGCUUAACUGGGAGGGUGCGCCGAAAACUGCGUGGCUAGAGUGCGGGAGAGGAGAGCGGAAUUCCUGGUGUAGCGGUGAAAUGCGUAGAUAUCAGGAGGAACACCGGCGGUGUAGACGGCUCUCUGGACCGUUACUGACGCUGAGAUACGAAAGCGUGGGUAGCAAAC
rnacentral:rRNA from 1 species